UGGGGAAUUUUGGACAAUGGGCGAAAGCCUGAUCCAGCAAUGCCGCGUGUGUGAAGAAGGCCUUCGGGUUGUAAAGCACUUUUGUCCGGAAAGAAAUCCUUGGCUCUAAUACAGUCGGGGGAUGACGGUACCGGAAGAAUAAGCACCGGCUAACUACGUGCCAGCAGCCGCGGUAAUACGUAGGGUGCAAGCGUUAAUCGGAAUUACUGGGCGUAAAGCGUGCGCAGGCGGUUUGCUAAGACCGAUGUGAAAUCCCCGGGCUCAACCUGGGAACUGCAUUGGUGACUGGCAGGCUAGAGUAUGGCAGAGGGGGGUAGAAUUCCACGUGUAGCAGUGAAAUGCGUAGAGAUGUGGAGGAAUACCGAUGGCGAAGGCAGCCCCCUGGGCCAAUACUGACGCUCAUGCACGAAAGCGUGGGGAGCAAAC
rnacentral:rRNA from 1 species